AACGAACGCUGGCGGCAUGCCUAACACAUGCAAGUCGAACGAUACCUUCGGUUCUAGUUUCGCGCGUGUGCGUGACUGGUGGGCAGCUGCGCAUCGGGUCAGUAUACCUCCCCGAUCUGCGUGCUAACCCCGGAAAAUUUCGUCGAACACAAGAUAUAUCGCGUUUGUAUCGGCCGGCGUUGGGUAAGCUAGUUGUUACGGUGAGAGCCUACCACGGCGACGAUCCAUAGCUUGUCUGAGAGGAUGAUCAGCCACACCGGGACGGAGACACGGCCUAGACGCCUACGGGAGGAAGCAGUGGGGAAUAUUGGACAGUCGGCGAGAGCCUGAUGCAGCAAUGCCGGGUGAGAGAUGAAGGCGUUAGGGUUGUAAAGCUCGUUUACUCGGGAUGGUGUUGACAGUACCGGGAUAAUAAGCUCCGGCUAACUCCGUG
rnacentral:rRNA from 1 species